rnacentral:misc_RNA from 1 species
GAUGAAGAACGUAGCGAAAUGCGAUAAGUAAUGUGAAUUGCAGAAUUCAGUGAAUCAUCGAAUCUUUGAACGCACAUUGCGCCCGCCAGUAUUCUGGCGGGCAUGCCUGUUCGAGCGUCAUUUCAACCAUCAAGCCCCAGGCUUGUGUUGGGGACCUGCGGCUGCCGCAGGCCCUGAAAACCAGUGGCGGGCUCGCUGUCACACCGGGCGUAGUAGAUUUUAUCUCGCUCAGGGCGUGCUGCGGGUUCCGGCCGUUAAAAAGCCUUUUUUACCCAAGGUUGACCCCGGAUCAGGUAGGAAGACCCGCUGAACUUAAGCAUAUCAAUAAGCGGAGGA